rnacentral:rRNA from 1 species
UACAGAGGGUGCAAGCGUUAAUCGGAAUUACUGGGCGUAAAGCGUGCGCAGGCGGCUUUGCAAGACAGAUGUGAAAUCCCCGGGCUUAACCUGGGAACUGCAUUUGUGACUGCAUGGCUGGAGUGCGGGCAGAGGGGAUGGAAUUCCGGCGUGUAGCAGUGAAAUGCGUAGAUAUGCGGAGGAACACCGAUGGCGAAGGCAAUCCCCUGGGCCUGCACUGACGCUCAUGCACGAAAGCGUGGGGAGCAAACAGG